UGGGCGCAGCCUGAUCCAGCCAUGCCGCGUGUGUGAAGAAGGCUUUCGGGUUGUAAAGCACUUUCAGUGAGGAAGAACGCCUUGGGGCUAAUACCCCCGAGGAAGGACAUCACUCACAGAAGAAGCACCGGCUAACUCCGUGCCAGCAGCCGCGGUAAUACGGAGGGUGCGAGCGUUAAUCGGAAUUACUGGGCGUAAAGCGCGCGUAGGCGGCGUGAUAAGCCGGUUGUGAAAGCCCCGGGCUCAACCUGGGAACGGCAUCCGGAACUGUCAGGCUAGAGUGCAGGAGAGGAAGGUAGAAUUCCCGGUGUAGCGGUGAAAUGCGUAGAGAUCGGGAGGAAUACCAGUGGCGAAGGCGGCCUUCUGGACUGACACUGACGCUGAGGUGCGAAAGCGUGGGUAGCAAACAGGAUUAGAUACCCUGGUAGUCCACGCCGUAAACGAUGUCGACUAGCCGUUGGGGUCCUAGAGACCUUUGUGGCGCAGUUAACGCGAUAAGUCGACCGCCUGGGGAGUACGGCCGCAAGGUUAAAACUCAAAUGAAUUGACGGGGGCCCGCACAAGCGGUGGAGCAUGUGGUUUAAUUCGAUGCAACGCGAAGAACCUUACCUACCCUUGACAUCCUCGGAAGCCUGCAGAGAUGCGGGUGUGCCUUCGGGAGCCGAGUGACAGGUGCUGCAUGGCUGUCGUCAGCUCGUGUUGUGAAAUGUUGGGUUAAGUCCCGUAACGAGCGCAACCCUUGUCCCUAUUUGCAGCGAUUCGGUCGGGAACUCUAGGAGACUGCGUGACAACGAGGAGUGGGGACGACGUCAGUCAUCAUGCCUA
rnacentral:rRNA from 1 species